rnacentral:tRNA from 2 species
GGGCGGUUAGCUCAGCGGUAGAGCACUGUCUUCACACGGCAGGGGUCACUGGUUCGAUCCCAGUACCGCCCACCA